rnacentral:rRNA from 1 species
AGAGUUUGAUCAUGGCUCAGAAUCAACGCUGGCGGCGUGCCUCAGACAUGCAAGUCGAACGCGAAAGCUCCCUUCGGGGGGCAAGUAGAGUGGCGCACGGGUGAGUAACACGUAGGUAAUCUACCUUCGGAUGGGGAAUAACAACCGGAAACGGUUGCUAAUACCGCAUAAUGCAGCGGCACCUAAUGGUGACAGUUGUUAAAGCGGGGGAUUGAAAGACCUCGCGUCUGAAGAGGAGCCUGCGGCAGAUUAGCUAGUUGGUAAGGUAACGGCUUACCAAGGCGACGAUCUGUAGCCGGCCUGAGAGGGCGGUCGGCCACACUGACACUGACAUACGGGUCAGACUCCUACGGGAGGCAGCAGUCGGGAAUUUUGGGCAAUGGGCGAAAGCCUGACCCAGCAACGCCGCGUGUGUGAUGAAGGCCUUCGGGUCGUAAAGCACUUUUCUGGGAGAUGAGAAAGGACAGUAUCCCAGGAAUAAGUCUCGGCUAACUACGUGCCAGCCGCCGCGGUAAUAC